AAGGCAGCGCGUGGGGCGCCUACGUGCGGGCGGGCGGCCUACUGCCGGUAGGCCCGGGCGGGCCGCUUGUUCCGUGCACAGCGGACGCAACUGCUAGGUCCACCGGGCUCUUGUGCUUCGUUAUGGUGCGGGAGGGCCGGGUGCGGUGGAAGGAAAUUGUGCGGGACUUCAGAGUUCGUCACCCCGAGGCGACUCACGGCGGGGCCGGGUAGAGCUGCGUGCUCCCUCAGUCCCUGUUGGGGAGACCCUUUCCUGUCACCGCGGUGCCGUGAGGAUCUGUGCGGGCAGGAGGAGGAGGACUGCCUGUUGCAGGCGCACGUGGGAAAUGUCCACCUGCAGCGCUGAGCUCAGCUUCCGCCGGCCAUAAACCUAAUGUAACCCUCCUUGUGGAAAUGUAAAAUGGAGGCCUGUUCUGAAUUAAAACUGCAAAUCCAGGGGACUCCAAGAUUAUAGGAGAGAUUAAAAAAUUGAAUCAAGCAACAUUGUAUAAUAUUCAGGCAGAAGAUCACUGCACUUCUGAGGAACUGUAAAAGAAGAUGGUUCCAUUGCACUCAAUUUUACAGCUUUCAAAAAACAAAUUUCCCGACUUGUUUGAACUAGAAGUUACAUAUGACACUACAGGACUAAAGCCUACUUCAUUUGCUCUCAAAACUGGAA